rnacentral:rRNA from 1 species
AACUAACAAGGAUUCCCCUAGUAACUGCGAGUGAAGCGGGAAAAGCUCAAAUUUAAAAUCUGGCGGUCUUUGGCUGUCCGAGUUGUAAUCUAGAGAAGUGUUAUCCGUGCUGGACCGUGUACAAGUCUCCUGGAAUGGAGCGUCAUAGAGGGUGAGAAUCCCGUCUUUGACACGGACUGCCAGGACUUUGUGAUGCGCUCUCAAAGAGUCGAGUUGUUUGGGAAUGCAGCUCAAAAUGGGUGGUAAAUUCCAUCUAAAGCUAAAUAUUGGCGAGAGACCGAUAGCGAACAAGUACCGUGAGGGAAAGAUGAAAAGAACUUUGGAAAGAGAGUUAAACAGUACGUGAAAUUGCUGAAAGGGAAACGCUUGAAGUCAGUCGCGUUGUCCAGGGAUCAACCUUGCUUUUGCUUGGUGCACUUUCUGGUUGACGGGUCAGCAUCAAUUUUGACUAUUGGAAAAAGAUUAGGGGAAUGUGGCAUCUUCGGAUGUGUUAUAGCCCUUGGUUGCAUACAAUGGUUGGGAUUGAGGAACUCAGCACGCCGCAAGGCCGGGUUUUAACCACGUACGUGCUUAGGAUGCUGGCAUAAUGGCUUUAAUCGACCCGUCUUGAAACACGGACCAAGGAGUCUAACAUGCCUGCGAGUGUUUGGGUGGAAAACUCGAGCGCGUAAUGAAAGUGAAAGUUGAGAUCCCUGUCGUGGGGAGCAUCGACGCCCGGACCAGACCUUUUGUGACGGUUCCGCGGUAGAGCAUGUAUGUUGGGACCCGAAAGAUGGUGAACUAUGCCUGAAUAGGGUGAAGCCAGAGGAAACUCUGGUGGAGGCUCGUAGCGAUUCUGACGUGCAAAUCGAUCGUCAAAUUUGGGUAUAGGGGCGAAAGACUAAUCGAACCAUCUAGUAGCUGG